CUCUGGCUGCCAUGGGUGGCAUCUGCUAAUGCCCUUCUCUUCUCCUCAGAUGUCCAGGGGAGAAAUAUCUUUAACCGAAGGAUGCUGGAAGAUUCCUCUGGUCUUGGCUGGGCUACGGAGGCAGCAGCAAGAUUGAUGAGACUCUCUGAUGGACAGGACAGAUCAGAGGCUGGAGAUUCUGGCAAACCUUCCAAAGAGCAAGGCCCAGGGAAGAGGCCCCACGAGUCCCAGUCUAACGGAAGCAAUGGAAUCAAGAGUGAAGGGUGAUGUGCAAAGAGGCUCCUGCUUUCUGGGAACCCAACCUGCCACACCCUGUCUAUAAAGCCAUGGUCCUGCACCUGCCUCCCACUCUGAUGUCGUAUCUCAAGAAUCUUCCUCUGAGUCCACUUCAGCCACAUGGACCUUCUUUUGAUGCCUCAGAGUCUUCUCACUUGCGGGUCCCUUAGCCUGUGAAGACUUCUCC
rnacentral:lncRNA from 1 species